AGAGUUUGAUCCUGGCUCAGGAUGAACGCUGGCGGCGUGCCUAAUACAUGCAAGUCGAACGGAGAGUGAUACUUCGGUAGAAGCUCUUAGUGGCGAACGGGUGAGUAACGCGUUGGUGACCUACCCCGAAGAGAGGGAUAACAGUUCGAAAGGACUGCUAAUACCUCAUGAUAUCAUAAAGGUUAGAGGCUAUAUGAUGAAAGGAGAGAUCCGCUUUGGGAGGGGCCUGCGUCCCAUCAGCUAGUUGGUAAGGUAAAGGCUUACCAAGGCAGAGACGGGUAGGGGACCUGAGAGGGUGACCCCCCACAAUGGAACUGAAACACGGUCCAUACACCUACGGGUGGCAGCAGUAGGGAAUAUUGCACAAUGGGCGAAAGCCUGAUGCAGCAACGCCGCGUGUGCGAUGAAGGCCUUCGGGUUGUAAAGCACUUUUCGGGGAGAUGAGGAAGGACAGUAUCCCCGGAAUAAGGCUCGGCUAACUACGUGCCAGCAGCCGCGGUAAAACGUAGGAGUCAAGCGUUAUCCGAAUUUACUGGGCGUAAAGCGCGUGCAGGCGGUUUAGUAAGUUGGAUGUGAAAGCUCCCGGCUCAACUGGGAGAGGACGUUCAACACUGCUAGACUAGAGGGCGACAGAGGGAGGUGGAAUUCCCGGUGUAGUGGUGAAAUGCGUAGAUAUCG
rnacentral:rRNA from 1 species